UACGAAGGGGGCUAGCGUUGUUCGGAAUCACUGGGCGUAAAGCGCACGUAGGCGGAUGUGCCAGUCAGGGGUGAAAUCCCGGAGCUCAACUCCGGAACUGCCUCUGAUACAGCACGUCUUGAGUUCGAGAGAGGUGGGUGGAAUUCCUAGUGUAGAGGUGAAAUUCGUAGAUAUUAGGAGGAACACCGGUGGCGAAGGCGGGUCUCUGGGCCGAUACUGACGCUGAGGAGCGAAAGCGUGGGGAGCGAACAGG
rnacentral:rRNA from 1 species